CUCAGCUUGACCUGCUGCAGUGCAGCCUUUGGGACUUCCCUCGCCUUCCACCUCCUGCUCAUCUGCUUCCCAAGCUGUCGCUAUGAGGAAACUGAGGCAGGAGACAGUGCAGUACCGGAGAACACAAGAUGGUGUCGGUGCGCAGGCCGUGGCCUGCCCCUGCUCGUCCGCCUGGGGGCGCCGAGGCUCCCGGCGAAGACGCCUCCCAGAAGCUGAGCCGCUACUACGCCUCCGUUGCGCCACUAGCUCAACCUGGUCACCCGGCCGCGGUGAGCGCUGGAACGGGGCGGGCGGAGCGGGAUCCCUGGGGCUCUACCCGGCGGCCCCGCACCGCCGGGGGCGUGGCCAGGUCUGAACACGCCCUUCCAGGCUCCGCCCCCAGGUAGGUGAAACGAGACAGCCCGGACGCGCGCCUCUGCAAAACGUUCUACCGCCCCACGGCGAGGACCACCCCGGCAGGUCUAGGUGAAAGCGUCCCCGUCACCACACAUCCUGCCUCCGAGAGCGCGGCCUCGCCACACCCCACCCUAGUCCGUCACUUACGACGUCUCCCAGGCUUGCCUCCCCAGAUCCGAUUCCUUUUCCUUCGCUCCUGGCGCCGACCCGUGGCGAGGACCCCCGAGGCCUCCUGGGAGAUCUUCCAACCACGCCCGUCUCAUUUGCAUACGCACUCCCGACCCCAGAAACCCGGAUUCCGCCUCCUGGCGGCGGCGUCUGAGGAGGGUGCGGGUGCGGGCUUUCAGCGUCUCGGCGCUCCAAACCCUGGGCUGCAGGGCUGUGUGUGGUCCUUCCCUGGUCCCAAAGUAAAGAGCGAAACCACAGAAA